CCUACGGGGGGCAGCAGUGAGGAAUAUUGGUCAAUGGCCGUAAGGCUGAACCAGCCAAGUAGCGUGAGGGAAGACUGCCCUAUGGGUUGUAAACCUCUUUUAUGCGGGGAUAAAGGUGUCCACGUGUGGAUGUUUGCAGGUACCGCAUGAAUAAGGACCGGCUAAUUCCGUGCCAGCAGCCGCGGUAAUACGGAAGGUCCGGGCGUUAUCCGGAUUUAUUGGGUUUAAAGGGAGCGUAGGCCGGUAUUUAAGCGUGCCGUUAAAUUUUGUGGCUCAACCAUGAGAGUGCGGCGCGAACUGGAGACCUUGAGUGCGCGGAAGGCAGGCGGAAUUCGUGGUGUAGCGGUGAAAUGCUUAGAUAUCACGAAGAACCCCGAUUGCGAAGGCAGCAUGCCGCAGCGUUACUGACGCUGAAGCUCGAAAGCGCGGGUAUCGAACAGGAUUAGAUACCCGAGUAGUC
rnacentral:rRNA from 1 species